UCCGUAGGUGACCUGCGGAAGGAUCAUUAAUGAAUUUUAUGGCGGAAUUGUAGCUGGCCCCAACCGGGCAUGUGCACAUUCUGUUCAUUCCAUUCUCAUACACCUCUGUGCACUUUACAUAGGUUUGGUAUAGAAAAGGUCUUUAUUGACUUUGGAAAUACUGACCUAUGCUUUUAUAAACGCUUCAGUUUUAGAAUGUCAUCCGCGUAUAACGCAAUAAAUACAACUUUCAGCAACGGAUCUCUUGGCUCUCGCAUCGAUGAAGAACGCAGCGAAAUGCGAUAAGUAAUGUGAAUUGCAGAAUUCAGUGAAUCAUCGAAUCUUUGAACGCAUCUUGCGCCCUUUGGUAUUCCGAAGGGCAUGCCUGUUUGAGUGUCGUGGUAUUCUCAAUACCCCAAAUCUUUGCGGAUAAGGGUGUGUUGGACUUGGAGGUUUUUGCAGGUAAUGAUUGUAUUACCAGCUCCUCUUAAAUGCAUUAGCAGAGAUAAUACUGCUACUCUCCAGUGUGAUAAUUGUCUACACUGUUAGUAGUGCGGUAUAACAAAAUGUCUAUGCUUCUAAUCGUCUUCGGACAACUUUUGACAAUCUGACCUCAAAUCAGGUAGGACUGCCCGCUGAACUUAAGCAUAU
rnacentral:rRNA from 1 species